CUCUGCGCCGCGGAGGCGCUGCUGUAAUAGGCCGCUCUGCGCUGGGCGCUGCGCGGCACCGGGUGCAGAGGGAUCUGGUCCGCCAUCUUGGGGGCGCCGCGCCUCCCCGCCGUGCGGCCGGCACCUCUGACGUCACAGGCACCACCAGCUGACGGCGGGAUGGAGGAAGCGCCGGUGGGGCGGGGCCCGCUUUAUUAAACAAGAAGGCGGGGCUCCCUCGAGGGGGUGGGGCAGCGGCACGCCGUGCCGGCGAAGGGGUGGGACAUUCCAGGAAACCUGGAGUUCAGGGCUUGAAGGGGAAUUGCAGGCAUUUUCUCACCUCAUCCUGCAAAGAACCUCACAUUUCCAUUUUAAUUGGGGAACUUGUAUUCAUCACUGAUGAUCCAGCUCAAUAUCUGUCUUCAAAUUUUCAGCAAAUUGCAAAUCAGUCCAAGACACCUAGAGGCAUAAAAAAUACCUGGAAAGACCUAAGCAAAGCAGCACAAUGUGCAGGAUGCUGGAUGUUGCUAUAUUUAUUCUUGUGUGGAAUCUUCUACUCAUAGAACCAGAAGGAAAAUCUGACUGGAAUUAGAUGGAGGUGUGAAUAUGGACAAGAUGACCUGGUCCUAAAAUUGUCCUAAAUGUCCUAAAAUGAAAAAGACAUUAAUUUGAACAUACUAUAGGACAGACGUGUUGUUGUAAAUCCAAUCUGCCUUAAAAGAAACACAUGAAGAGCAUGAUCGUUACAGAAAUGCAAUGAAACCACAGAACUGAGAAAAACAAGAUGCAUCAUUGCAGAGGAAACGGUGAACUUCUUCAUGAAGGAAGUGGAGUGGAGGAAUAAGAAAGAUGUUCCCAGCUAUCAGUCUCAUUGGUAAUAAUCUACUAUUCAUGAAGCUGGUAUGCAGAUAUUAUGAUAAGAUGCUUCAUAACAUUUGUAAAAAUGUCCUUCCAAUGAGUAAUAUUGCUUGGCACAUGCCAUUAGUUUACUUGGAGGAAAUUGUGGAGCAUUUGGUUACCCAAUGUAAGAGAAAGAGAAACAGUCUGGUCCAGACUGUUACCAAAAGAUGGAAUAGUUAUCAUUUAAAUAACAGAAGUUACAUUAACAACAGUUUGAAGAUUCAACUGAAUUUUCUUUUAAGCAAAUUUCCAAAACACACAGUGAACUUUAUUCUGCUACCUAUUAUGUACAUUAGAUAAUACCAUAGAUACCCUGUUGGUUUCAGCAAACUUGUUUGGAACUGGAUGAUGGUAGACUAAAAACUACAUGAAGGACUAAAUUCUAACUAUUAAGUGAUCUAGAAAGGUUUGUUGGGAUGUGUCAUUUAGUGGAAUACAGGCAGAUGAAAAGGCGAGGUCCAGUCGUAUGUUACCUACAAAACUCUUACCUGAAAAGGUGUGUGUUCACCACCGUUUGAGAUGACUGUUUCCAACUGUUCUUAAUGAGAAUGUUUAAAAAAAAAAUCCAACUCAAACCUCCUAGAUCAGACACAUUCUUCGCUAUAAAGUGAUAGAAAACAAAUGGACACAUGCCUAUCUCUCCUGAUGAUCACAUUCUUUUAUGUGCACAUUUUAUUUGCUGCAAGCAACAGGUAAUGGUAUAAGAAUACCAGUAAAAACAUUAUCUUACUCUCUAUCAUCAGGCUGUCUUUAAUACAUUACUUAUUUUAGUAUACCUGUAGGUCCUAUAGGAAGUGCACACUGUAGCAGAACAAGUAUCAACAGAUUGAAGAAACUGGCAGAGAUGCAUAUAUAGUCAUUUUGAACUAGUAACCAGAAUGGCAUGAUGGAGAGAUGUCAGUUAUCAGUAGAAGUAAAAGAACGAGAGCUUUGCCCAUCACUACUUCUACAUUUUCUCCGUAAGAUGCCUAAGUGAAAUCAGUAGCUAACAUCAUUAAGGAUGCCUUAAAUAAAUCUAAAGCAAAAUUUCCCUGAAACUCAAAGAAAAAAGACAAGAGUAUCCAUAGAAUUAAUUAAGCUAAUAUAUUUAACACAUGAACCAUUUUCUAAGAGAUUGUUUUGCAUACUACUGUAAAUCAGAUAACUAUGAAUUCAUAUGUCUAAAAAAAUAUUAAAUAUCAUUUGCCAAUCUGGGAAACAAAUUGCUUUCUUUUCAACAUCCAAAUGAUAGCAAGCAUCAUCUUUGGAAUUAUAUAAUUAUUUAUUUUAACAUACUUAUAUACAGCGAGUGACUCAUCCUGAUAUAAUAGUUUACUUCAACAUAAACUAAGUAAAGAUUUUUAUGAAGUAAUGAAAUCUUUUAACACAUUUGUGACUUAGAAACUUUCCUCAUAAGCCUACAGAAAUAUAAUCAUAGUAAUGAUAUGUCUUUUGCUAUCAUGAUAUCCAGUUUGCCUUUAAUGAGGGCGAGCACCAUUUAGUGAUGUUCUAAUUGCACCUGAGAUGGAUAACACUUGAACAAAAUACUCAACACACAUUUUGAAAUUAAUUCUAAGCAGCUAAAAAGGUUUUAAACAUACAUGUUUAUAAGUACAUGUAUAUUAUAUACUUGUGUAUAAUAAUAUAUACACACACAUUUAUUUUAAUGUUUAGCUUUAAUAGCAAAAGGUACAGUAGAAUUCCACUGAUAGCAAGAUUUGACUCUAGAUUAUCCAUAGAAAAUUGGUGCUCUUUCUAGAAGAAAAUCAAUACAAGCUCAAAACAAAAUGUGAUAUCAGAUAACUCUCAGUUGCAGUCAAAAAUGGAUAAUCCAUUUGAGUACCUAAAUAAUUGAAUGAGGCCCACUAGAGUAAUCAAAUAGAUACUUGAUAAUGAAGAAACCCCACUGGAAAAUGUUACUGAGUAAAGUUUUUAUCAAUUUCAUCUAGGUUGGUGUACAACAUUUAGGACAAGGCUCUCAGUCCUGACUGAAGCCUGUAGGUACUACUGGAGUACAAAUAAUAAAUAAUAGAACCUGUACUGUAAACUCUCUAAAAUCAGCAGUAAUACCAAGCAUUUUCCAUCUUUGAAACACUGUACAGACAUAAAACUAUUCCUCACAACACCCCUGUGAGGUAGGUACAAAAGUAUUUUCCCAUCUUUACUGACAGUGCAACUCAUCCCACUUCUACAAGGUGCUAGCUGACUCUGCAGAGGGAGUUCACUCCCAGAUUCCCAGGGGCCCCAGGAGUAUUUAACUGUCAGGUAGAAUCAGAGUUGAAUUAGAGACUUGCCCACUUCUCUAAAAUAUGUCAGCGGUACAACACAAAGAUUUUGGCUUUCAGAUUUGUCACUUUGUCAACUGAUUGAGCCAUUCUACCUUUUGAUAAAAUAAAAUACUGUGCGUUGGAGCUGUGGCAUGCACAGAUUUUACUCUCUUAAUUAAUCUGCUGAUACCUUUAAUAUAUGCAAAGGAAAAACAUUUGCGUGGUAGUGUGUAUGUUGUGUAGCAAUCUCACAGAAAGCUCGUCACAUUUUUCUAUUUUACACAUAAAAGUUACAAGCUCUUUUACUCAUUUAUAUGAGAAGGGACUGAUUAUUCACAUGAUGUUCUCACAUCAAAUUCUAUACUAAGGGGCACAGUCAUGGUUUUUAGAUUCAGAUUUCAUGACUUCCUUUAAAAUGGGAAUAAUCUUGCAGUGUAUACUAAAAUAUACAUAUUAUCUCUUCCCUUUUUUAAAAAUAAAGUCCAGAAUACUUUUGUCUAGACAUAUUUUCAAUAUACUAUAUAGCUAAUCAUUUGGGGUAUCUCCACUGAAGGCCAUGGAGUUUCCAGCAGUGUAACAGCAGGUGUGGUGAAGUUAGGAUGAAAGUCUCCGUUCUCCUGAAUGUCUGUGGCUGCUCUGUACCAGCACACUAACAAACUUAACAUCUUCAUCUAAAGAAAAGUGUGAAUGGUACAUUUGUUAGCACAUCCUGUGAGCUAUACGCACACCUGAUCGUAUCACUGAUUACUUCAUCAUUCAUUAUGCUAGCAUUACAUGCAGGUGUAAAAAAAAAAUUAAAAAAAAAAAACAUUUUUUGACUUUCGCAGAAUUAGAGAAAAAGGAAAAAGAAACAACAAAAACCCACAGUAUCUUCCAAAUGGCAGAGUACAUGCAGAAAAGUAAAUUAAAGGCAACAGAAAUACAGAACAAAUGCAGCAGUAGGAAUGCAAAAUAUUUGCCAAGAUAGAAAGGAUAAAAUAGAUAAAGGAAUAGCUAUUAUAUGGAGGGCUAAUACACACACACAGAAGAAAGGAAAAAAAAAGCAGGUAAAAAAGUAGUUAUGACUCUCAUUUGUCAUAAAUACUCUAUUUGUAAUCACUUGUGGAAAAAAAAUAAGUGAAGAGGUUGAAAGCCUUGCUGAAAUUUUCACAGUGUAAAAUAACCCUCUCCUCAAAAUACCAUAGAUUGCAUCUUUUUUUUUGAUUGCAGAAUUCCUACAUGACUCUAGUUUUAAAUGUCUGUAAUUUAGCAGACUUUGACCAUUUUUACCUGUGUAACAUUUAAUUGUUCAAAUUCUUUAACGUCUUCCUAUGAGAACAAAAAUAACCCACUGCUUAUUUAAGAAUAGAUACCAUUUCUGCUUUUAUCCUAUUUGGUAGAGGAGGAUGGGAAGGCAGAAAACUUUUCUCUAUGUUUUGAACAGUAUUAUAACUGUCAGAGCCCUCUCUUUUUUUGCAUGUCAUGUUUUCUCUCAGCAGGGCUCAGAGAUGUGCACGCAGGGACAUAAGCACAGGUAUAAACCUGUUGUUGAGUCACCAGAGGAAACUCAUACCUUCUUUGAGCAGACCUUAUAAAACAGAGUAUUUUCAUAGCAAGGCCACUAAAAGAUAAUUAAUUCAGAUUUUUCUUUUCUUUUAUUUACUUUUUGCUCGUUUUAAUUGCAGCAGGCAUCCAUCACCAGAUCAUAGCAACUUGAAGGUAGAGGUUUUUGCAGGAGAUACAUAAUCAUAUCCCUAGCUUCAAGAAUGUAAAUGCUUACAUUCAAAUUAACGUGAAGAUAAUUUGGUUAAAGUUAGACAUGCUUUGAUGAAUUGGGGUCUUGAAAAAAUAAAGAAAAAAGCCAUAGGUUUUAAUGUACAGAAUACGUCAUUUGGAAUGAAUGGAUGCGAGUUAUUAAUUUUGUUCUUAAUUUUGAAUUUUUGAAUUGUAACUUCUUAUAAAUUUGUUCUCAAUUUUAUCAUGCAGUACAUUAUAGAUUUUAGGUAGAUGUUUAAACAACAUGAAAAUGAACCUUCUGUUGUAAACAGUACAUAAAAAGUGUGCAGAAUGCAGUCAAUUUGAAGCAGUAGUACUUUCAAAGGCUGUUUUCCCUCCUCCAAAAUGUUUUGGGUUUCUUUUUUUUUCUUCUACUGUCUCGUGUGAAAUGCUCUGAGGAUUUAUUUUUAUUAGAAAAGAGACUUGAAUAAUUCUACCCCUUUGCACCGCUAAUAUACAUUAGAGCAGCAUUUAAAUACAAGGUGUCAACCUUAUUCCAGUUUUCAGAUGCAACGAUUAGAAGUCAUUGACACCAAUCUACCACAAGUGACCUUAUUCUCAUAUCUCGCACUGUUAUUAGAAUAAUCAAGGAACGCAAUUCAGAAAUAAUAUUACAUCCUGCAUUUUAUUCAAUUCCAUAUGACAAAAAUAGUAACCUAGACUAAGACAUCCAUUUCAAUCAGUAGGUGUGUCAAGCCAACAAGAUUUAAUAAUAAAAAAUAUUGGAUCUAAGUAACAAUUCCCAGCUGGUUCAGGGAGGCUCCUAGCCCUACAUGGUAUCACAGUAUAAAAAUAGUGUCUCUCUUCACCAUGCAGAGAGGAAUGACCUAACCCUGAAUACAAAAUGGGGUCAGUCUUACUGUACCAUCAUCAACCAUCUUAUUUACAACACUUUACAUCUUUUUUCUUUUUUUUUUCCUUUUUCUUUUUUUUUCCCCUUUUUUCUCUCUUUCUUUCUUUCUUUUUUUAACUUUUUUUUUUUAACCUUUUUUUUUUUUUUUAAGUUAUACACAUCCUUUAGGGAAUAAAGAUAACACUACAUGGUACCAAAUACUAACAAAAAAAGUCACACCAAAAAUGACACA